AGGAAGGGUAGGACAAGCCUGCUCUCUGGAAGCCCUGAGCAGGAGAUGCCCACCCCCUUGCUGUCAGACCCUGCCAGGGGCUCCAGGAUCCUCUGCUGGGUGGCUCUGUGUCUCCUGGGGGCAGGUCCCGUGGACACUGGCACUGUCCAGUCCCCAAGACACAUCAUCACAGAAAAGGGAGGACAAGCCACUCUGAAAUGCCACCCUGUCUCUGGCCAUCGCAGUGUAUACUGGUACCAGCAGGCCCAGGGCCAGGGCCCCAAGUUCCUCAUUCAGUACUAUGAUAAGACGGAGAGAAAUAAAGGCGAUAUCCCGGACCGGUUCUCAGCCCAACAGUUUUCUAACUACAGCUCGGAGCUGAAGUUGAGCACCCUGGAGAAGGGGGACUCGGCCAUGUUCCUCUGUGCCAGCAGCAUUGACACAGCCCUGCAGAGCCACCUCACACCUGUACCCAAACCUCCUGCUCCCACUGGGGAUGUGAGGGAGGGCGAACAGUGCAGCCCCAGCCCAGCCCCUGUGGUGCUGCGGUCCUUCCCCGACACUCCCUGCCACUGA